rnacentral:rRNA from 1 species
GACGAACGCUGGCGGCGUGCUUAACACAUGCAAGUCGAACGGAAAGGCCCUGCUUUUGUGGGGUGCUCGAGUGGCGAACGGGUGAGUAACACGUGAGUAACCUGCCCUUGACUUUGGGAUAACUUCAGGAAACUGGGGCUAAUACCGGAUAGGAGCUCCUGCUGCAUGGUGGGGGUUGGAAAGUUUCGGCGGUUGGGGAUGGACUCGCGGCUUAUCAGCUUGUUGGUGGGGUAGUGGCUUACCAAGGCUUUGACGGGUAGCCGGCCUGAGAGGGUGACCGGCCACAUGGGGACUGAGAUACGGCCCAGACUCCUACGGGAGGCAGCGGUGGGGAAUAUUGCACAAUGGGCGGAAGCCUGAUGCAGCAACGCCGCGUGCGGGAUGACGGCCUUCGGGUUGUAAACCGCUUUCGCCUGUGACGAAGCGUGAGUGACGGUAAUGGGUAAAGAAGCACCGGCUAACUACGU